rnacentral:rRNA from 1 species
GUGGCUACUGUGCCAGCUGGUGGAUCGCUCGGCUUGAGAGCUGAAGAAGGACGUGCCAAGCUGCGAUAAGCCCAAGGGAGCCGCACGGAGGCAAAGAACUUGGGAUCUCCGAAUGGGAAUCCCCACCGCAAUUGCUUCGCGCAAUGGGGAACGUCGAGAAUUGAAACAUCUUAGUAUCGACAGGAAAAGAAAGCAAACGCGAUGUCGUUAGUAAUGGCGAAUAAACGCGACACAGUCCAAACCGAAGCCUUCACGGGCAAUGUGGUGUUCGGACUGACGAUCACUUCCCGAACGGCGACGCGAAGUCUCUUGGAAUAGAGUACGAAACAGGGUGACAGUCCCGUACCGUCGACAAGUAAGGAACGAGUCAGCUCCAGAGUAUCGGGGGUUGGAUAUCCCUCGUGAAUAUCGCGGGCAUCGACCGCGAAGACUAAACACUCCUCAAGACCGAUAGCGAACAAGUAGCGUGAGCGAACGCUGAAAAGCACCCCACGAAGGGAGGUGCAAUAGGGCGUGAAAUCAGUUGGCGAUGGAGCGACAGGGCACACAAGGUCCCGGACAAAAUGAAUCAGGUGCGAACCUGUAGUAAGAAGUUUGGGAAGCCGGUGUUCUGUCGUACGUUUUGAAAAACGAACCAGGGAGUGUGCCUGUUUGACGAGUCUAACUCGAUCAUCGAGGAAGGCGAAGGGAAACCGACAUGGCCGCAGNCGAGGGCCGCCGUGUUCAAGCGCGGGGAGUCAAACGGGCACGACCCGAAACCGGACGAUCUAGGCGUGGGCAAGGCGAAGCGUGCCGAAAGGCACGUGGAGGCCUGUUAGAGUUGGUGUCCUACAAUACCCUCUCGUGACCUACGUCUAGGGGGGAAAGGCCCAUCGAGUCCGGAAACAGCUGGUUCCAACCGAAACAUGUCGAAGCAUGACCUCUGCCGAGAUAGUUCAUGGGGUAGAGCGACGGAUUGGGGGAUCGCACUCCGAGAGGAGUGUGCCCCCCUGUCCAACUCCGAACCUAUGAACGUCGUUUGACGCAGGGAGUCCGGUGCACGGGGUAAGCCUGUGUACCGUGAGGGAGACAACCCAGAGCUGGGUUAAGGUCCCCAAGUGUAGACUAAGUGCGAUCGAAGGUGGUCUCAAGCCCUAGACAGCCGGGAGGUGAGCUUAGAAGCAGCUACCCUCUAAGAAAAGCGUAACAGCUUACCGGCCGAGGUUUGAGGCGCCCAAAAUGAUCGGGGCUCAAGUCUACCACCGAGACCUAGCAGCACCACUGAUACUGGUGAUCUCGUAGGUUGGCGUUCUGUUCGGGUGGAAGCACGGUCGAGAGAUCGUGUGGACCGUUCAGUAACGAAAAUCCUGGUCAUAGUAGCAGCGUUAGUCGGGUUAGAACCCCGACGGCCGAACGAGUAAGGGUUCCUCAGCAAUGCUGAUCAGCUGAGGGUUAGCCGGUCCUAAGUCAGCCCGUAAGUCGAAGCUGACAACAGGGAAAUAGGUUAAUAUUCCUAUGCCAGUGUGUACUCAAAGCCAACGCUUUGGGGCCGCCUCUGCCGGGCUUUCGCCCGGUCGAACUAUCGAAGUUCGUGGAAGCCGUAAUGGCACGAAGCGACCGAAUGAUAGGAUAGCGCAAGAGAGGUCAACCUAGAGCCCGUGAAAAGGCAAACACACUGUCCGUACCGAGAUCCGACACAGGUACUCGUGGCGGCGAAAGCCAAGGUCUGUCGGGAGCAACCGACGUUAGGGAAUUCGGCAAGUUAGUCCCGUACGUUCGCAAUAAGGGAUGCCUGCCCUGCAAUGGGGCAGGUCGCAGUGACUCGGGCGCUCCGACUGUCUAGUAACAACAUAGGUGACCGCAAAUCCGUAAGGACUCGUACGGUCACUGAAUCCUGCCCAGUGCAGGUAUCUGAACACCCCGUACAAGGGGACGAAGGACCUGUUAACGGCGGGGGUAACUAUGACCCUCUUAAGGUAGCGUAGUACCUUGCCGCUUCAGUAGCGGCUUGCAUGAAUGGAUCAACGAGAGCGCCACUGUCCCAACGUUGGGCCCGGUGAACUGUACGUUCCAGUGCGGAGUCUGGAGACCCCCAAGGGGAAGCGAAGACCCUAUAGAGCUUUACUGCAGGCUGUCACUGAGACGUGGUCGCCAUUGUGCAGCAUAGGUAGGAGCCGCUACACAGGUACCCGCGCUAGCGGGCCACCGAGGCAGCAUUGAAAUACUACCCGAUGGUGACUGCGACUCUCACUCCUGGCGGAGGACACUGGUAGCCGGGCAGUUUGACUGGGGCGGUACGCGCCUGAAAAGAUAUCGGGCGCGCCCCAAGAUUUCCUCAUCCGCGUCGGAGACGCGGAAAAGAGCGCAAGAGCAAACGGAAGUCUGACAGUGUCCGGCACAACGACGGACGCUGACGCGAAAGCGUGGUCUAGCGAACCAAUUAGGCUGCUUGAUGCGGCCAAUUGCUGACAGAAAAGCUACCUUAGGGAUAACAGAGUCGUCACCCGCAAGAGCACAUAUCGACCGGGUGGCUUGCUACCUCGAUGUCGGUUCCCUCCAUCCUGCCCGUGCAGAAGCGGGCAAGGGGGAGGUUGUUCGCCUAUUAAAGGAGGUCGUGAGCUGGGUUUAGACCGUCGUGAGACAGGUCGGCUGCUAUCUAUUGGGGGUGUUACGGUAUCUGACGGGAACGUUCGUAUAGUACGAGAGGAACUACGAAUGGGUGCCACUCGUGUACCGGCUGUCCGAAAGGGCACGUGCCGGGCAGCGACGCACCACGGGGUAAGAGCUGAACGCAUCUAAGCUCGAAACCCACCUGAAAAAGAGAUACCACNCCGAAAGGGCACGUGCCGGGCAGCGACGCACCACGGGGUAAGAGCUGAACGCAUCUAAGCUCGAAACCCACCUGAAAAAGAGAUACCACUGAGAUCACUCGUAGAAGACGAGUUCGAUAGACUCGGGGUGUACGCACCAAGGCAACGAGGUGUUGAGCCCGCGAGCACUAA